UACGGAGGGGGCCAGCGUUGUCCGAAGUUACUGGGCGUAAAGCGCGCGUAGGCGGGUUCUUAAGUCCGCUGUGAAAGCCCGGGGCUCAACCCCGGCAUGUCGGUGGAUACUGGGAGCCUGGAAGGUGCCAGGGGGAGAUGGAAUUGCCGGUGUAGGCGGUGAAAUGCGUAGAGAUCGGGAGGAACACCAGUGGCGAAGGCGGCUACCUGGACCAGCACUGACACUGAGGCACGAAAGCGUGGGGAGCAAACAGG
rnacentral:rRNA from 1 species